rnacentral:rRNA from 1 species
UACAGGGGGUGCAAACGUUGCUCGGAAUCAUUGGGCGUAAAGCGCACGUAGGCGGUUCGUUAUGUCGGAUGUGAAAGCCCUUGGCUUAACCGAGGAAGUGCAUCCGAAACUGGCGAGCUAGAGUACGAAAGAGGAUCGCGGAAUUCCCGGUGUAGAGGUGAAAUUCGUAGAUAUCGGGAGGAACACCGGUGGCGAAGGCGGCGAUCUGGGUCGAUACUGACGCUGUGGUGCGAAAGCGUGGGGAGCAAACAGG